UUCGGCGAUUAACUGUUAACCUUUAGAUAAUGUAUUUAUGCUUCGGAUUAAGGUACAACGUUCUUACUAGAAUGGCUCCUUAUUCAAAAGUUUCAAAUGCAAAAUAUAAUUUGCGCAAAGCGCAUGGAGGUUUCAUUCUAAUGGAACAAGGUACUGUUAAAUGGUUCAACGCUGACAAGGGUUACGGUUUUAUCACUUUGGAAAACGGCUCAGACGUUUUCGUUCACUUCUCAGCUAUCCAAGCUGACGGCUUCAAGACUCUUGAAGAAGGCCAACACGUAACCUUAGACGUUGAAGAAGGCGACCGCGGCCCACAAGCUGCUAACGUCACUGUUGCUUAAUUUUUAAUUAAGUACAGGAAAACACCAACCAUUUGGUUGGUGUUUUUUU
rnacentral:sRNA from 1 species